rnacentral:rRNA from 1 species
AACGAACGCUGGCGGCAUGCCUAAUACAUGCAAGUCGAACGAGAUCUUCGGAUCUAGUGGCGCACGGGUGCGUAACGCGUGGGAAUCUGCCCUUGGGUUCGGAAUAACUUCUGGAAACGGAAGCUAAUACCGGAUGAUGACGUAAGUCCAAAGAUUUAUCGCCCAAGGAUGAGCCCGCGUAGGAUUAGGUAGUUGGUGAGGUAAAGGCUCACCAAGCCGACGAUCCUUAGCUGGUCUGAGAGGAUGAUCAGCCACACUGGGACUGAGACACGGCCCAGACUCCUACGGGAGGCAGCAGUAGGGAAUAUUAGACAAUGGGCGAAAGCCUGAUCCAGCAAUGCCGCGUGAGUGAUGAAGGCCUUAGGGUUGUAAAGCUCUUUUACCCGGGAUGAUAAUGACAGUACCGGGAGAAUAAGCUCCGGCUAACUCCGUG